CUCAGGUGUAUUUAAUGCGCUAGAAAAAAACUGUAUCAAUUACCGUUUCUUAGCUGGUACUUCGUGCAACAUCCCGUAUAAUAUACAAAAAAAUAUACGGUAAUCUUAUAUCUAUUUGUUGAAAAUUAUAUGAGAAAUAAAGUUUAACAAUAUAUUUUUAAAAAACAUUGGCAUAAAAUGAGCGAUGAAGCUAUACGUGAUUAUAUUGCAACAAGCAAUGAUGAUAAAAGCAUAUAUAAAGUUGAUGAAGGAAGAUAUCAUUUAUAUUCAUGCGGUGGUUGCCCUUUUGCAAACAUGGCAACUAUUGUGCUUGCACUAAAAGGUCUUGAAAAAGUAGUAUCUGUUAGUUUAGUUGAUCCAGUAUUUGAUGCUGAAACUGGGUGGAGGUUUGCAUCAGAAGUUAAUGGUUGUACAGACAAUGUGUGUGGUAAAGUAUACUUAAAAGAUAUUUAUGAAAUGUCACAUCCGGAUUAUAAAGGGUUAACAUCUUUAGGGUACAGUAAACAAACCAAAAUUCCUAUUCUUUUUGACAAACAAACUAAUAAAAUAGUUAAUAAUGACUGCAUGGAUAUAAUGAAAAUGCUCAACACAUGUUUUAAUCAGUUUUUAUCGUCAGAAAAAUAUGCCCUUGUUAAUCUUUACCCAGAAGACAAGCAAAAGGAAAUUGAUGAGAUAAACCAGUGGAUAAACGAUGAUAUCAUUAUGGGCGUUUAUAAAUGUGGGUCAGCAAAAGUCCAAGAAGAAUACGACACACAUGUUAAUAAGUUGUUUAACAGUCUAGAUAAGGUAGAAGAGAUUCUCUCUAAAAGUAGAUACUUAACUGGAAAUAGUAUUACCUUGGUAGAUGUUCGCUUGUUUGCUUGUCUGGUUCGAUUUGACAGUUGCUAUUACACCUUAUUUAAGUGCUCAAAAAAACUGAUUAGCUGUUACAAAAACUUAUGGGGAUACACAAGAGAUAUUUACCAAACUGGAAAUGUCAAAAAUAUGAUCAACUUUAGUCAUAUUAAAUCAUUAUAUUGGUUAAACAAAACAAGAAACCCUAGUUUAAUUCUUCCAAUUGAUCCUUGUGCUGAUUUUUCAGAACCAAAUAAUAGAGAACAUGUUGGUAAUUAAGGUUGUUGGAGAAAAGAAAGAAAUUUAAAAUUUGAGGAGAUUAUGUCUAUUUGAUUUAGUUUG